UGUAGACAAAAUAAACAGCACACCGAAAAAUAAAAUAAUGGAUGGAUCUGAUCUUCUUUGUUUUGGUUACUUCAAGCAAACAAAUAAAAAUAAAAAGUGUAAAGCAUAAACAUGACUGUAAACGAGGACUUUACCAAAUUGUUCUUUUCAUUCAUGUACAAUUGUAUCCAAUUCAGACUUCCUACGAAGAUAAAUAUUUUAAGCAGAUAUUCAAUGAUAAUUCCGAACUGUGUUUUUCUUCAAAUGUAUUGAUAUAUAUAU